AAGAACACCCAAAAUAGCUGAACAUCGCAUUCAGUUUACUUGAGUGUUCUCCU
rnacentral:pre_miRNA from 1 species